GCUGGGGUGGCAGAUUUAAGUGCGUUGGAUUUAAGCUUCAAAUAUGGAAUUCUUUUCUUCUUGGUA
rnacentral:tRNA from 1 species